GAUCGAGUUUGAUCCUGGCUCAGAUUGAACGUUGGCGGAAUGCUUUACACAUGCAAGUCGAACGGUAGAGGGGGCAACUCCUUGAGAGUGGCGAACGGGUGAGUAAUAUAUCGGAACGUGCCCAGUCGUGGGGGAUAACGUAGUGAAAAUUACGCUAAUACCGCAUACGAUCUAAGGAUGAGAGCGGGGGAUCGCAGACCUCGCGCGACUGGAGCGGCCGAUAUCAGAUUAGGUAGUUAGGUAGGGUAAACGGCCUACCAAGCCAACGAUCUGUAGCUGGUCUGAGA
rnacentral:rRNA from 1 species